ACUGAGAUUGCUGGGUCAUAUAAUAAGAGUAUGUUUAACUUUAUAAGAAACUUUCAAACUGUUUUCCAAAGUGGCUGUAUCAUUUUAUAUUUCUUCUAGCAAU
rnacentral:pre_miRNA from 4 species